rnacentral:tRNA from 1 species
UACUUCUUGGUGUAUGAUGCACAGGACUUUUUGAUGGUUUUGGAACAGUUUGACUCUGUAAGCAGUAA